rnacentral:rRNA from 1 species
UACAGAGGGUGCGAGCGUUAAUCGGAGUUACUGGGCGUAAAGGGCGCGUAGGCGGUUGUAUAAGAUUGAUGUGAAAUCCCUGGGCUUAACCUAGGAACUGCAUCGAUGACUGUACGACUAGAGUACUGUAGGGGGUAGUGGAAUUUCCGGUGUAGCGGUGAAAUGCGUAGAGAUCGGAAGGAACACCAGUGGCGAAGGCGGCUACCUGGACAGAUACUGACGCUGAGGAGCGAAAGCGUGGGGAGCGAACAGG